rnacentral:lncRNA from 1 species
AUGGAACAGAAUAGAGGAUACAGAAAGAACACCAGGGCCAAAAACAUAUGCUGGAGGAAAGUGGACAUGGUGCUGAUGCCUGUCAUCCUAGCACUGGACAGGCUGAGGCAGGAGGAGCACCAUGAGAUCGAGGCCAGCCUGGACUACAUGGUGAGUUCAAAGCCAGCCUCAACCCGAACUACAUACCAAGAUGUGCACGUGAGUCUAGACCCAUAUAUCUCACCACGUGCCGAGACAAAAUCAAUAUGGACCAACUAUCUAAAUGUUGAAACAGAAACAUUUCAUCUGCUGGAAGAUAAAAUAGGUAAAACUCUUGAAGACAUAGACACAGGCAAGGACUAUUUUAAAAGAACCUGAAUUGCACAACCUAUAACAAUGAGAAUCAACAAAUGGGGUGGCAUCCAGUUAAAAUCUUUCUGCACAGCAAAGGAAGCAAAGAACAGAGUGAAGUGACAGCCCGAGGGAUGGGAAAAUGUUCUGUAGCUAUUCCCUGGAGAGGGCAGACAUCUAGCGUAAAGAACACCACGGAACUGGUCCCUCCCAAAGGAAUCCAUCGAGUGAAAUGGAGAGGCACUUCUCAGAAGUACAAGUGGCCAGUAAAUACAUGAAAAAUAUCCAACAUCUCUGCAAUGAGAAAUACGAGUUGAAACAACAUGGAGAUGCCAUCCUCCUGCAGAAAGAAUGACUGAAGAGAGUGGGUGAUAAAUGGACAGCAUUUAAAAUCUAGUCUCCAAACCAAAGAGACAGUAAGCGGAGGAAAAGCCCCCACUCAGCUCUCCCAGGUGUUGCUGUGGAGGGGCCGAGGGGACCUGGCGGGCAGAGAGGGGGGCGCAGAGAGGCCGAGGGCUCCUGACCUCAGCUCCCAGGGAGGGCAUGUGGGGACUGGUUAAGAAGAUGUACAUUACUUGGACAUGAACAGUGCUACACAACUAUGGUGAUUUUCGUUCGUGUCAUAAUAAAAUUCUUUCAAUCUCCUUUUUUGGUACCAGGGAUCGAACUGGGGUCCUUGCACUUGCACAGCAGGCGGCAAAGCCACUGAGCUAAAUCCCUGGCCCCUAAAUCUCAUUUUUAAAAGAGAUGUGUACUGAAGGAUUUAGGAAAGAUGGCCUC